AGUGUGUGUGUGUGUGUGUGUGUGUGUGUGUGUGUGCAUCAAUGCACGUAUACAUGCAUGCAUUCACACACACACACA
rnacentral:miRNA from 1 species